rnacentral:rRNA from 1 species
GAUGAACGCUGGCGGCGUGCCUAAUACAUGCAAGUCGAGCGAACAGACGAGGAGCUUGCUCCUCUGACGUUAGCGGCGGACGGGUGAGUAACACGUGGAUAACCUACCUAUAAGACUGGGAUAACUUCGGGAAACCGGAGCUAAUCCCGGAUAAUAUCUUGAACCGCAUGGUUCAAUAGUGAAAGACGGCUUUGCUGUCACUUAUAGAUGGAUCCGCGCCGCAUUAGCUAGUUGGUAAGGUAACGGCUUAUCAAGGCAACGAUGCGUAGCCGACCUGAGAGGGUGGUCGGCCACACUGGAACUGGGACGCGGUCCAGGCUCCUACGGGAGGCAGCAGUAGGCAAUCUUCCGCAAUAGUCGAAAGCCUUACGGAGCAACGCCGCGUGAGUGAUGAAGGUCUUCGGAUCGUAAAACUCUGUUAUUAGGGAAGAACAAAUGUGUAAGUAACUAUGCACGUCUUGACGGUACCUAAUCAGAAAGCCACGGCUAACUACGUG